GUGUUCUGCUGUGGUACAAGGUGCAUGGAGUUGAAUGGAGUUGAAGAGAGUGUCCUCUGGGCUGGAGAGAUGGCUCAGCCGUUAAAGGCUAGGCUCACAACCAAAAAUAUA
rnacentral:miRNA from 14 species